GGGAAGGUGGCUUACUGGUAUAGUGCUUGCCUAGCAUGCAAGAAGGGCUGGGUUUGAUUCCUCAUUACCA
rnacentral:tRNA from 1 species